AACGAACGCUGGCGGCAGGCUUAACACAUGCAAGUCGAGCGCCCCGCAAGGGGAGCGGCAGACGGGUGAGUAACGCGUGGGAAUCUACCCAUCUCUACGGAAUAACGCAUGGAAACGUGUGCUACUACCGUAUACGUCCUUCGGGAGAAAGAUUUAUCGGAGAUGGAUGAGCCCGCGUUGGAUUAGCUAGUUGGUGGGGUAAAGGCCUACCAAGGCGGCGAUCCAUAGCUGGUCUGAGAGGAUGAUCGGCCACACUGGGGCUGAGACACGGCCCAGACUCCUACGGGAGGCAGCAGUGGGGAAUAUUGGACAAUGGGCGCAAGCCUGAUCCAGCCAUGCCGCGUGAGUGAUGAAGGCCCUAGGGUUGUAAAGCUCUUUCACCGGUGAAGAUAAUGACGGUAACCGGAGAAGAAGCCCCGGCUAACUUCGUGCCAGCAGCCGCCGUAACAC
rnacentral:rRNA from 1 species